UGUAUUGUAACUAGUGCUUGGGAUGCAGAUUACCUCUUCCUUAUCACCAACCCAAACCAGUUUAAUCAACUUGAUAACUUCCAUUGGUUCCACCACACUUUGAAUUAGAACAUUGUGUUAUGAAGGGGUAAUCUGCAUCCUGAGGUUUAGAGCAAUACU
rnacentral:pre_miRNA from 1 species